rnacentral:rRNA from 1 species
CCUACGGGAGGCAGCAGUGGGGAAUAUUGGGCAAUGGGCGCAAGCCUGACCCAGCAACGCCGCGUGAAGGAAGAAGGCCCUCGGGUUGUAAACUUCUUUUAUCAGGGACGAAGCAAGUGACGGUACCUGAUGAAUAAGCCACGGCUAACUACGUGCCAGCAGCCGCGGUAAUACGUAGGUGGCAAGCGUUAUCCGGAUUUACUGGGUGUAAAGGGCGUGUAGGCGGGAAAGCAAGUCAGAUGUGAAAACCAUGGGCUCAACCGGUGGCCUGCAUUUGAUACUGGUUUUCUUGAGUACCGGAGAGGCAGACGGAAUUCGUAGUGUAGCGGUGAAAUGCGUAGAUAUUAGGAGGAACACCGAUGGCGAAGGCAGUCUGCUGGACAGCAACUGACGCUGAGGCGCGAAAGCGUGGGGAGCAAACAGGAUUAGAUACCCUUGUAGUC